UACGAAGGGUGCAAGCGUUACUCGGAAUUACUGGGCGUAAAGGGUGCGUAGGUGGUUGUUUAAGUCUGUUGUGAAAGCCCCGGGCUCAACCUGGGAAUGGCAAUGGAUACUGGACAGCUAGAGUGCGGUAGAGGGUAGUGGAAUUCCCGGUGUAGCAGUGAAAUGACGUAGAGAUCGGGAGGAACACCAGUGGCGAAGGCGGCUACCUGGACCAGCACUGACACUGAAGCACGAAAGCGUGGG
rnacentral:rRNA from 1 species